UCCCUUCCCUUCCCUUCCCUUCCCUUCCCUUCCCUUCCCUUCCCUUCCCUUCCCUUCCCUUCCCUUCCCUUCCCUUCCCUUCCCUUCCCUUCCCUUCCCUUCCCUUCCCUUCCCUUCCCUUCCCUUCCCUUCCCUUCCCUUCCCUUCCCUUCCCUUCCCUUCCCUUCCCUUCCCUUCCCUUCCCCUUUUUUCCCCUUUUUUCCCCUUUUUUCCCCUCCCACCCAGGGGGCUGUGCUGGUUCUCUUUGGAGUGUGGCUCCUCGCUGGAGGGAUGGGGAUCCCAGGGAAGGAGUAUUGCCAGAGAAGGGAUGGAGGAGGCUGAGUUUCCAUGCUGGGAAAUGCCAUUCCCUGUGGGACGUGGGUUCUGAAUGGGAAAUGGGAUCCCUGUGACCCACCCUGAGCAUCUGACACCUCCACAGAAUUGUCUUGGCUGCUCCAAACGACCAUUCCCAAGGGGUUGCUCCCAGGGGCUGAGGCCAUUGAACACUGUCCCUCCCCCUGGCUGUGCUCCCCUUCUCUCCCAGGCAGGGAUGUCAGCGUGGGCUCUGGAUGUGCUCAGGUAACUUUCCACCGUGGCCGUGCUCACAUUCCCUGCUCGGGGCUCAGCUGCCUGAGCUGGGCUGUAAAGCUGCCCAGGGAGAUAAGGGGCCUUGUGCUCUCAUUCCAAGAGCGAUCCUGGCUGCAGAUAGGAGCUGCUAUCUCCCAUCUGGCCGGGAAUGCCCGGCCAGUGCGUCACCAGCUGCCUCCAGCCAUCCCUCUGCCAGAACGGCACAUUCCUGCUCCUUCUGCCCUGCCUCUUACCCCUCACCUGUCCUGUGCCACACCUGCCCGGUGGCCAGGCAAUGGGAACGCCCCCAGCCCCUCCACGGCUGUGCCAAGGAGCACGAGUGAUGCCUCCCCCUUAUCUUCCUCCCCAAGGACCUAACCAGAUUAAAAAAACCCAGUCAGGCACAGAAAACCCGUCACCCGACCAAAAAAACCCCCAACCAAACAAAAAACCCACAAUCAGGCCAAAAAAGUCUCCAACCAGGCAAAAAACCCCAACCCAAAUCAGACACAAAAAAACCCCAAAUGGACCAAAAAUGCCCAGUCAGACACAAAAAACCCAACCAGACAAAAACCCCACAACCAGACCAAAAAAUCCCCAACUAGACAAAAAAACCCCAAACUCCAAUCAAGCCUGAAAAACCCCAAUCAGACACAAAAAAACCCUAACCAGAUUAAAAAAAACAGACAACCAAAAAAUCUCCAACCAGACAAAA
rnacentral:lncRNA from 1 species